ACAGGCGGUGGAGUAUGUGGUUUAAUUCGAUGCAACGCGAAGAACCUUACCUGGUCUUGACAUCCCGGAGACCCUUAGGAAACUAGGGGGUGCCUUCCAUCUGGAAGAAUCUGGAGACAGGUGCUGCAUGGCUGUCGUCAGCUCGUGUCGUGAGAUGUUGGGUUAAGUCCCGCAACGAGCGCAACCCUUGCCUUUAGUUGCCAGCAGUUCGGCUGGGCACUCUAAAGGGACUGCCGGUGUUAAACCGGAGGAAGGUGGGGAUGACGUCAAGUCCUCAUGGCCUUUAUGACCAGGGCUACACACGUACUACAAUGGCCGAUACAAAGGGCAGCGACACUGCGAGGUGAAGCCAAUCCCGUAAAAUCGGUCUCAGUCCGGAUUGGAGUCUGCAACUCGACUCCAUGAAGUUGGAAUCGCUAGUAAUCGUGGAUCAGCAUGCCACGGUGAAUACGUUCCCGGGCCUU
rnacentral:rRNA from 1 species